rnacentral:lncRNA from 1 species
GUCUCAAAAGAAAGGGAGAAAGGGAGAAAGAGAGAGAGGAAGGGAGGAAGGAAGGAAGGAAGAAAAGAGAAAGAAAGAGUCCCUGAGGAGCAAGCAAUUCCCUCAGCCAAAGAGCUUUUGCUCUCAAGUCUCGUUUGGUCAUGCUAAGCCACAGUUUGGGGACUCCUAGGAGCAGCCAUCACAGGUAACCAGUUCUGCUGGCUCAGGAUGGCCCCUGCUGCCCUGACUCAGAGACACUUCCUGCAAGGCAGACAUCUCAUGCAGAGCAGAGGCCACUGCAGUCAGAAGGAAGGGCCUGGUAGCCUCAGAGGCACAGCCAAGGGGCUGCAACGAUGGAAAGGAGAUAUUCCACAAGUCCAAGAGUGUGACAUGGAAGCACACUCUGGGAUGUGGUGGACUCAAGUGAUCCAUGCAGAUGUGGAUGCUGUCUCUCUUUCUCUGUUCAUAGAGUGUGGCAUGGGUCCUCUCUGGGUGAAAAUAGGUGCCCAGAAUUAAUCACACACUUCCAUUCAAAAUAAACUGUGCCAACUUGCUGAACCACAAAAUGAUUUCCUCGCCAUGGCCCCUAAAUAACUCCGUGAUAAGAACUGUAUGCUAUUGAUGGCUCUGAAGUCCAAAUUUAUUGGCAAAAGCAAAGAACAUGCCUGAACUAGUCAUUUCUGCAGGCGUUUCUCCUUAAGAUGAGUUUGAAGCCAAUUGGUUAUGUGAAGAAUAGCAAUCAGUUCUUUCUCACACUGGAGGAGGAGGAAGCACAAAAGAAAGUUCAAGGGUCAAGCCUCCCAAAAGGCUCUGUUAUAAUCCUAUGUGCUCUUUCAUUGUAUCUAGUGAUGAAUUUGGGUAACUGACACUUUACUCAUUGGCCAUCUAUCCUUGAACUUGAUAAGCAUUUUCAUUUAUGUAAGUUUACUUGUAAUUCUUCCAAAACUUAUCUUCACAUUUCCCAACAAACUAAUUUCAGACAUUUUGUUUUUAUGAUUCUAUUGUGACAGGAACCUCCAUUUCAAUAUACUUGUUGCAGGUAUAGAUUUUGUGCAUUGCUUUGUGGUGUUGAUUUGUCCAUCUUUUGUAUUCUGCCUAGCUUAUUGUAAUCUUGAUUUUUAAAGUUUUCAAUUGGGUUUUUAAAGUAUGUUAAUGUUAAUAAAUGCAUUUUUAGG